rnacentral:sRNA from 1 species
GUUUUUUGUCUUUUCUUUUUCUUUAGUGAUUCUUAAGAUUAAUAUUAAAACUAUACGGUAGACGACGUUAGAAGGUAAAAUCUAAAAACUAGUUUUAGUUGAUUUUAGGUGGAUUAGUCAGUAGUAAAC